CCCUUAGAUGUUCUGGGCUGCACGCGCGCUACACUGAUGCAUCCAACAAGUUUUUUCCUUGUUCGAGAGGACUAGGUAAUCUUUUGAGAAUGCAUCGUGAUGGGGAUAGAUUAUUGCAAUUAUUAAUCUUCAACGAGGAAUUCCUAGUAAGCGCAAGUCAACAGCUUGCGUUGAUUACGUCCCUGCCCUUUGUACACACCGCCCGUCGCUACUACUGAUUGGAUGUUUAAGCGAGGUUCUCGAACUGCUAGCGACUUAGCUUCGGUGAGGUCGCAGCGUGGGAAGUGAACCUAGCUUUGGUGUCUAGAGGAAGUAAAAGUCGUGACA
rnacentral:rRNA from 1 species